UAAUAAUAAAAAUAUAUAAAAAGAAGCAAAGGAAAAUCUUUUUACACAAAAAAAAAGAAGAAAAAUUCUUGCAAAAGUGUUUGUUGGCUUACAAGUUUUGUGUUUGAUUUGUCUGUCUACCUACAUAUAUUCACAUGCUACAAAAUUUUACAAUAUAUUUUUUUUUUACAUGCAAGGAAAUGAAGAAGAAGAAAAAUGAAAUUUAAUAAUAAAUUUUCCAUACAAAAAAUGAGUGAAUAAGAGGAAAAAGUGGCCAGGCUUAUCUAAAGUUUUUUAGCUGACUCGUUGAAUUCUAAACGAAUUACUUUGCAAAGUAAAGUGAGGCAAGAAAAAAUGUGUAAAAAAAAUAAAUAAGGAAAAAAAAUAUCGUCGUUAUAU
rnacentral:sRNA from 1 species